GUUUCAUUGUUUUAUGAAAAUACAAACUGGAUGUUUUGUCCACAUAGCAUAGCCUGACACACACACACACACACACACACACACACACACACACACACACACACACACACACACACACACACACACACACACACACAGAGUGUUCUAUAGUAACUGCACUGGAGGAGAGGAGGACGCAGAGCAGAGGUGCAAUAAAGCAAUAAACCAAAGCACUGAGCCAUCACAUCAGCAGUGAGCAGUUAAACUGCCAUACUGGAAAUAACAAAUAUUGAACUUGCUAACCGUUGGGUAUGUGAGCGUGGUGGGGCAGAUGGGAAACAGGGUAAUAAAUGGUAAAAUGUUUCACACAGGCAUUAAACAUAGUCAUUUAAUUUAUUGUUGAAUAUAUAGUGGGGACAUUUUAAGGAAUGUCACUCACUUAGCUUAAAGCCUUUGUUUGCUUCAACUCUGUGAGUGACUCAGUGGCUUAAUGUAAGUAAGGCCAGCCACAGUGGCAACAAGACUGUGUAAUCAGGAUCUAUUUAAAGAUGUUGGUGUGCAGUUGCUCAAUAAUAGGAUUUCAUAAGAGCACAAACAUGUAAAAGAAAAACAGAAGGGCAGCUAUCUACCAGUCUCUAAGGUCAGACAAGCAAUAGAAAAACAUCACUUUUCAGAUCCAGGGUGGUCGAACUGGUUCAGCUGUGUCUACAACAUCCAACAACAUCAGCCAAAGGUUUUGCAUAAACAAAUAUUACGAGUAGGGAGGCCUGCUUUGCGUGGCAGUUGAAGAUCUUUAAUGUGUCACUGCAGAGGUGACGUGAAGGUUUUGUUAUUGUCUGGUGUGGAGGCUUAUAACUCUACUCUAAACAGAGGAUGUUCUACCUCUUCAUCUUUGUCUGAAAGUGUGGCUGAAAUGCACACGCAUGCAGGGCUUGUGGACAUGCAACAGGGAGAGAGAUGGUUGAGUGAUGGGCUGCCACAUUAGCAGCGCUGCAUGAGCGGGCUUGCCUUGCUCAAGGGCACCUCGGCAGUCCACAGGAGGUGGAACUGGCACCUCUCCAGCUACCAGGCCACGUUCCAUAUUGUGGUCUGUGGGAUUUGAACCUGCGACCCUCCAGUUCCCAAGCCAAGUCCCUACACACUGAGCUUCUUUCUUUCUUUCUUUCUUUCUUUCUUUCUUUCUUUCUUUUACUCUUGUUGUAUUCCUGUCCCAUAUGUACUUGUCUACUUUUUCUUUUUUUUCUGUCUUCUUCUUUCCCUUUUUCUAUUUUCGGCUAAAACACCACUUCCCCUUGUUGCUUCUCAACACUUACAAAUACGCACACGCACACACACACACACACACACACACACACACACACACACACACACACUGAAGUCCUUUACAAUAGGCUGCACUGUACCCAUUUUCAUCUAUCAUCUAUCUCUAACCUAACCCAUGUUGAUUUAUUGAUUUAUUUGUCUUUGUUUGUUUUGGUCACACAAUGUGUCUUGUUUCACCUGUCUGUUUUCACAAAAUUAAAAGAAUUUUAGAAAAAGAGCCUGUCCCUGUCUGGUGUGAUUCAAUAUACAAUGUCAUAUACAAGUGUUAAUAAUAUAAAGAGAAAGCAGUUAUAGCUAAAUGAUAAUAAGAAUACUAGAAUGAGAAUAAUCCUUUUACUAGGACAGCUGGCAGUGGUACUGCAGUGUUUAAUGGGGAUCAUCAGUGUAUCAGGUAGUUUUGUCUCAUAUGAACCACAGUGCUGUCAGACAGGAAGUUGCAGUCAGUAUUUUAGCUUUCCACUCACGGGUGAUAUGAACAAGUUUCCCUGAAAGCUUCAGAGAUCUGACACAUCCAAAAACAACCAUGGCGUUCCACAUGAGGAUCAUCAUCAUUUUCAUAGGUAACUUUUUUAUAACUGGAGUAACUGAUCUUUACCUGAUCAGAGAGGGAAAUGUGAUGGUAAACGUUGACUUGGUUUUAGAGGCGUCCUUAAAUACACACUGCACACAUUGCACGACUGCUGUGCUAUAACAUACAGUACUUUCAAUAAUGUGUGACUGCCUGUUUUUUAAAAUGUUUACUGGCACUCUAUCAGAGAUGUGUGUGAAUGACUUUGAAUAAUACGAGGGACCGAGACGGUGGAGAGUUGAUUUGUUUUCCACCAAAAUAGGCAGUCUUUCAGUACUAUCCUCUCAUAGUGACUACAGCAUUAUUCAACUGUCAGCAGUGACUUGAGACAUAAGAUUUUUUAUUAAUAUUUAACUGAAAUAACAAUCUUUCCUUCCCUUAACAGACUUUCAAGGAAACUUGUUUGUGUCCAUCCUCUCUGACUUCAGAUCAUAUCAGAUACAGACAGACGCUGCAUUAAGACACAGAUACACUGAUGAUCUCAGAACUCCACCAAACACUGCAAGAGCACUGCUAGCUGCCCUAGUAAAAUGAUGAUGCAGUGAUUCUACUAUUUAGCUAUAAUUCCAUUCUCUU
rnacentral:lncRNA from 15 species